ACGGUCAACCCGCCCUGCCCUUUCCCAGUGACCCUCUCUCUCUCUUGUUAGCUGAUUAUCCAACUUGUUAACUGUAACCUGGCAAGCUUAAUUAUAUGUUUAGCAGCUCCAUUGUAGCAUCAUUUAAGUCCACCACUGAUCAAAAUUUUAAAAUCUGACACUAACAUACACAGUAACACUUGUGGAUGCUCUUAGUCACGGAAAUCAACCCUCUCUCUCCCUCUCAGAGAGGGAGGAGAGAGGAAAGAACGGCGGCUCCGGCGAGAGAGAGUGGGUGAAGUCGGAGGAGGAGAGCGAUGGUGGGGCGAGACGGAGGCGAUGAGGUCGCACGAUCUCAGAUCUGAAGCUGGAGACUCUGACGGUGGAGUUGUUGGCCGCCGCCAUCGCCGGCGGAGACGACCGAUGAGGUCUCGCCGCCCUCUUCUUUCUUCACCGAUCUCUCUCUGUCUCUAGGGUUUCAAUCUCUCUCUCUCUUCCUCUCAAACGCAUCGCCCUCUCUCCAAUCUCUUCCCUCUCCCUCUCCCUCUCCCUCUCUCCAAUAGUUUCGGUGGAUCAAACCGAAGGCCGAGGUAUAGCCAUUUUUUAACACAUUUGAGUUGGUGCUCGCUUGUAGGAAGAUUCCCCGCUCUGAAGUAAAGUCUUUUUGGAGCUCAACGCCGGAGUCCACACCAGGGCACAUCGAAAGGCAACUUCUCCCUCUCAUGGCACACGUCUCUCUCUCUCUAUCAAAUAGAUGCCGCCAGAGGAGGUCUCAUCACUGACCAGGAAGAAAAGAUUGAAUCUCGCAGUCUCACGUAACCUCUUGGAUUGCAAAAUUAGGGUUUUGACUUCAAUUUGGGUACAGAAUCACGAAACAGGUUUUCAGUCUUACCUUCAAUUUUUGUGCAGAAUCGUGCUUUUGAUCUUAAAAUACAUUUAUGAUUUUAUUUUAUUUUACUCUUAACUACUACUUGAAAAUCUGAGAUAAAGAUGACACAGUUGAGCUAUCUCAAUAUAAUAUUUUGAUAAAAUAAGUUUCAAUAAAAAAGUUAAAUUUAAGAAUUCUUUAAUUUUAACGCAACCAAGCUGGGAGAGUUGGUUUUAACGAAAACUCAAUAAAAAAUGUUGAUAUUUUGCAGCCUGAGGUUUGAAGUCUUGUCACUUACUACAACAUUUAGUUUGUUGGCCUAAUUUGUGAUGGCUUGGUGGUAAUUAUGAAUAUUUGUGCAGGAUUAAUGCUGAAUUUUUUUUUUUUUAGAAUUUGGAAGUAAAUUAAGUUCUAAACUUGGAAGGGGUCAUUAAAACCUUAAUUGUACCUCUAGAUUAAGUUUAAAUUUAUAAUUUUUAUUUAUCCUAUAUAACGGCCCUGUUUUAGUAUGUACUAAUUGGGCGUUGUUUUUUUAACGUCCAUACUUUACUUUUUUUGACUCUUGUAUUGUUUUAGUAUUAGAGUUAUAGAGCUAAUUUGUAAUUAAUUUCACUAAUUCGGUUGCUGGUUUUGAUGAAGUUUUUCUAUGAUAAUUGUGUUUGACUUGCCUUGAUUGUCACGGUGUGCGGCUGGUUGUUGCUCUUUCAUUAGGAAUUGCUGGGAGUUUUAGGAAGGCAUGUGUAUUUUGUUUUUGAGUUUUGUUGCUAGGAGAUUUAGAAAAAUGUUUUAAUCGUAUUCUUACAACCUUGAAACCAAAUAAAGAAACUACUUCGUGAGAUCGAUAAAUCCAACUUAAAAUAGUCUUAAUACAUAUAUAUAUAUAUAUAUAUAUUAAAAUGAAAUUUCAAAAACCUAAGAAGUUGCAUAGUUCGCCGAACAUUUUACAUUCAUCAGUAAUUUCUAAACAUAUUCAAUACGUUAAUAACAAUUAUCAAAAAAAAAAAAAAAACUAAUAACACUAUUGAAUCAAAUAAAAAUCUUACAACUUCUCACAAUUGUCCAUAAACUUGAAAUCGUCCAUUAAUCAUAUUCAUAAUUACUUACAUUUCUUUCAUGUCUGAUUUUUGCCAUAAACCUGACAUCUUUCAUUAACCAUAUUCAUAAUUACUUGCACUUCCUUCCUAUUUGGUUGUUCCAACAACACUGGAACAUGCGGAUAAACCGGUUUAAGAAUAUGCCAAACUCAUAAUGAGUGUGACUAUGAAUUCUACAUCACAUUCUCUCAUUAUCGAAAGACAUUGUUCGCUAGCUAAACGAACAUCGGCUGAAACAAAUUGCAUAUAAUUAACUGUUCUCUUAGUAGCGCCACUUGAUUACAUGCCAUCCAAAAUUGCAGAAGAUCAUGUGUAGCUAUUAAGUCAUUCCCUGAUUGUUGAUCUUCCUCAACAUGUGGCUUAAAUAUCGAAAUUCUCUGAGCAUUUGCUAUAUUUUGGAUAUCUAACCAUGAAGUUGCAUUUGAGAACAACAUUACAUUCAACGGGUAGGUUGGCGUUCCUAUCCAACCAAACUCAUCUAUCAACCCAACAAUGGUUUGCAUAUCAUCUUCUAUGACAGUCGGGAUUUUUGGCUUUUGAACAAGCUGUCUUAACCACUAACAAUGUAUUUGUCCAAAUUCUGUAGGUCGCAAAUAUCCAUUCGUUUGUGGUUGAAAUUCUACCAUUUCCCGGUGUGCUACAUUUUCGUUUUUCAUUUACUGUCACUGUCAAGAAUAAAACAACAAUCAAUACAAAAUUAAAUAACAAUUAAACCAUAUAAUUAUUUGUUACUAAAUAUUAACGUUUCACUGCACAUUUUAGGAGAGCAUGUCAAAAAAACAAACGUCAAAAAGUACAAAAGUUGAUAGCGGGCAUUGUUAAUUACUUUUUUAACAUGUUCUCCUAAAAUGUGCAGUGAAACGUUACUAUUUAGUAACAAAUAAUUAUAUGGUUUAAUUGUUAUUUAAUUUUGUAUUGAUUGUUUUAUUCUUAACAGUGACAGUAAAUGAAAAACAAAAACGUAGCACACGAAGAAAUGGUAAAAUUUCAGCAACAAACGACUGGAUAUUUGUGACUUACAGAAUUUGGGCAGGCACAUUGUUUGUGGUUAAAUUCAAACUUAUUACUAAGAUAUGGGACAUGGUUGCUCCAUUACUUAGGUAGACAGCUUGUUCAAAAGUCAAAAAUCCUGAUUGUCACCGAAGAUGAUGUACGAAUCAUUGCUAGGUUGAUGGACGAGUUUGGUUGGAUAGGAACACGAACCUACACGUUGAAUGUAAUAUUGUUCCCAAAGCAACUCCGUGGUUAGAUAUCCAAAAUGCAGCAAAUGCUUAGAGAAUUGCGAUAUUUAGGCCACGUGUUGAGGAAGAUCAACAAUCAAGGGACGAGUUAAUAGCUGCACAUGAUCAUAUGCAUUUUGGAUGGCAUGUAAUCAAGUGGCGCUACUAAGAGAGUAGUUAAUUAUAUGCAAUCAUGUAUUUGUUUCAGCCGGUGUUCGUUUAGCUAGCGAGCAAUAUCUUCCGAUAAUGAGAGAACGUGAUAUAAAAUCCAUAGUCACACUCAUUAAUGAGUUUGGCUUAUUUCUAAACUGGUUUAUCUGCAUGCGCCAAUGUUGUUGGAACAACUAGAUAGGGAGGAAGUGCAAGUAAUUAUGAAUAUGGUUAAUGGAUGAUUUCAGGUUUCUGGCAACAACCAGAUAGGAAAGAAGUGUAAGUAAUUAUGAAUACGGUUAAUGAACGAUUUCAAGUUUACGGACAGGUGUGAGAAGUUGUAGGAAUUUUAUUUGAUUCAAUAGUGUUGUUAGUAGUUUUUUUUAUUUUUAUAAUUGUUAUUAACGUAUUGAUUAUGUUUAGAAAUUACUAAUGAAUGUAAAAUGUUCGGCGAACUAUGCAACUUCUUAGGUUUUUCAAAUUUUAUUUUAAUAUAUAUAUAUUUAUGUAUUAAGUUGGAUUUAUCAAUCUCACGAAGUUUUUUGUUUAUUUGGUUUCAAGGUUGUAAGGAUGCGAUUAUAACAUUUUUCCAAAACUCUUACCAACAAACUCAAACAAAAUACACCUGCCCUCCUAAAACUCCGAGCAAAUCCUAAUGAAAAGUAACAACCAGCCACACACAGUGACGAUCAAGGCAAGUCAAACAAAAUCAUUAUAGAAAAACUUCAUGAAAACCCGCAACUGAACCAGUGAAAUUAAUUACAAAUUAGCUCUAUAACUCUUAUUUCACUGAUUCGGUUGUUGGUUUUGAUUUAGUUUUUCUGUGAUGAUUGUGUUUGACUUGCCUUAAUUGUCACUUUGUGCGGCUGGUUGUUGCUCUUUCAUCAGGAUUUGCUGGGAGUUUUAGGCCAAGUUUGGCAUCCUUAAAAUAAUCUAUAUUUUUAUCUUUUUUCCAUCACAUCACAUCUCUACUUUUCUGCACAUCUUUUCGUAAAAAGACAAAAAGUACACUUAUUUAGUUCAUUCCAAACAACCCCUUAGUAAGGCUUGUGUAUUUUGUUUUUGAGUUUUGUUGUUGGGAGUUCUAUAAAAAUGUUUUAAUCGCAUCCUUACAACCUUGAAACCAAAUAAACAAUUAAACAAACAACUUUGUGAAAUCAAUUAAUCUAACUUAAAAUAGUCUUAAUACAUAUAUAUAUAUAUAUAUAUAUAUAUAUUAAAAUGAAAUUUCAAAAGCCUAAGAAGUUGCAUAGUUUGCCGAACAUUUUAUAUUCUACAGUAAUUUCUAAACAUAUUAAGUACGUUAAUAACAAUUAUCAAAAAAAAAAAAAGAAGCUAAUAACAACACUAUUGAAUCAAAUAAAAUUCCUACAACUUCUCACAAUUGUCCGUAAACUUGAAAUCGUUCAUUAACCGUAUUCCUAAUUACUUACAUUUCUUCUCUGUCGGGUUGUUGCCAUAAAACUGAAAUCGUCCAUUAACCAUAUUUAUAAUUACUUGCACUUCCUUCCUAUUUGGUUGUUCCAACAACAUUGGAGCAUGUGGAUAAACCGGUUUAGGAAUACGCAAAACUCAUUACUGAGUGUGACUAUGGAUUCUACAUCACGUUCUCUCAUUAUUGGAAGACAUUGCUCGCUAGCUAAACCAACACCGGCUAAAACAAAUACUUGAUUGCAUAUAAUUAACUACUCUCUUUGUUGCGCCACUUGAUUACAUGCCAUCCAAAACUGCAUAAGAUCAUGUGUAGCUAUUAUCUCGUCCCCUUGAUUGUUGAUCUUUCUCAACAUGUGGCCGAAAUAUCGUAAUUCUCUGAGGAUUUGCUAUAUUUUGCAUAUCUAAUACUUGGGAACAACAUUACAUUCAAUGGGUUGGUUGGUGUUCCUAUCCAACCAAACUCGUCUAUCAACCUAGCAUUGAUUUGUACCUCUUCUUCUGUGACAAUCGGGAUUUUUGGCUUUUGAACGAGCCGUCUACCUAAGUUAUGGAGCAAUCUUGUCCCAUGUCUUAGUAAUAAGUUUGAAUUUAACCACAAAUAAUGCGUUUGUCCAAAUUCUGUAAGUCGCAAAUAUCCAUUCGUUUGUUGGUGAAAUUCUACCUUUUCCCCGUGUGCUACGUUUUCGUUUUCCAUUUAUUGUCACUGUCAAGAAUAAAACAACAAUCAAUACAAAAUUAAAUAACAAUUAAAUCAUAUAAUUAUUUGUUAUUAAAUAUUAACGUUUCACUGCACAUUUUAGGAGAGCAUGCCAAAGUUGAUAGCGGGCACUACUAAUUGCUUUUUUGACAUGCUCUUCUGAACUGUGCAGUGAAAUGUUUAUAUUUUUAGUAACAAAUAAUUAUAUGGUUUAAUUGUUAUUUAAUUUUGUAUUGAUUGUUGUUUUAUUCUUAACAGUAACAGUAAAUGAAAAACAAAAACGUAGCACACGAAGAAAUGGUAGAAUUUCAACAACAAACGACUGGAUAUUUGCGACUUACAGAAUUUGGACAAGCACAUUGUUUGUGGUUAAAUUCAAACUUAUUAUUAAGAUAUGGGACAAGGUUGCUCCAUAACUUAGGUAGACAGCUUGUUCAAAAGUCAAAAAUCCCGAUUGUCACCGAAGAUGAUGUACGAACCAUUGUUAUGUUGAUAGAUGAGUUUGGUUGGAUAGGAACACGAACCUACCCGUUGAAUGUAAUGUUGUUCCCAAAUGCAAUAUCCAAAAUGUAGCAAAUGCUCGAAGAAUUGCGAUAUUUAGGCCACAUGUUAAGGAAGAUCAACAAUCAGGGGAUGAAUUAAUAGCUACACAUGAUCUUCUUAUGCAUUUUGGAUGGCAUGUAAUCCAGUGGCGCUAUUAAGAGAGCAGUUAAUUACAUGUAAUCAAGUGUUUGUUUCAGCCGGUGUUCGUUUAGCUAGCAAGCAAUGUCUUCUGAUAAUGAGAGAACGUGAUGUAAAAUCCAUAAUCACACUCAUUAAUGAGUUUGGCGUAUUUCUAAACCGGUUUAUUUGCAUUCUCCAAUGUUGUUGGAACAACCAGAUAGGAAAGAAGUGCAAGUAAUUACGAAUAUGGUUAAUGGACGAUGUCAGGUUUAUGGCAACAACCAGACAGAGAAGAAAUGUAAGUAACUAUGAAUAUGGUUAAUGGACGAUUUCAGGUUUAUGGACAAUUUCGAGAUGUUGUAGAAAUUUUAUUUGCUUCAAUAGGGUUGUUAGUAGUUUGUAUUUUUUAUUAUUAAUUGUUAUUAACGUAUUGAAUAUGUUUAGAAAUUACUAAUGAAGGUAAAAUGUCUGGCGAACUAUGCAACUUAAUGGGUUUUUGAAACUUCAUUGUAAUUUUGAUCUACGAAAUUUCAUUUUAAUGUGUAUAUAUAUAUGUAUUAAGACGAUUUUAAGUUGGAUUUAUCGAUCUCACGAAGUUGUUUGUUUAUUUGGUUUCAAGGUUGUUAGGAUGCGAUUGAAACAUUUUUCUAAAACUCUCACCGACAAACUCAAAAACAAAAUACACACGUCUUCCUAAAACUCCCAACAAAUCCGAAUGAAAAGCAACAACUAGCCGCACAGUGACAAUCCAGGCAAGUCAAACAAAAUCAUUAUAGAAAAACUUCAUUAAAACUAGCAAUUGAAUUAGUGAAAUUAAUUGCAAAUCAGCUCUAGAACUCUAAUGCUAAAACAAUACAAAAGUCCAAAAACAGCGCAGACACACUCCAAAAAAGAAAAGAAAAGCAUGGACGUUAAAAAAACAACGCCCAAUUAGCUAUGUUACACGGACUUUUCAAAAUAAAUCAAAUACCUGUGUUGGACACCCGACACUUGGACAUUGGUAUUGGAUAUGUGUCGGAUAUUUUUCAACAGAUACUUCUUAUAUAACAUUAUUAUUAUAUGUUCAUAUUGUUGUAUAAUUGUUAUAAAUGUCAUUUUGAUAUCAUAAGUUACAUAUAGUACCAUUUUAUCUUACAUACUUGAUUAAAAAUAUAAAAAUAUGACAAUUUUUGCCAUGUCCGCGUACCCUUAAAUUUAUAAAUUUAUGAUUUGAUGAGUCUGACCUCUAAAUACAUACCCGCACCCGACACCAGUACUCGAGUCCUUGUAACAUAGCCAAUUAGUACAUAUUAAAGCAUGGACAUCAUAAAGGAUAAAUAAAAAUUAUAAAUUUAAACUUAACCUAGAUGUACAAUUAAUUUUUUAAUGACCUUUCCAAGAUUAGAACUUAAUUUACUUCCAAAUUCUAAAAACAAAUUACGCCAUUAAUCCUACACAAAUAUUCAUAUUUACCACCAAGCCAUCACAAAUUAGGCCAACAAACUAAAUGUUGUAGGUAAGUGACAAGAGUUUAAACCUCUGUUUGCAAAAUAUCAACAUUUUUUAUUGAGUUUUUUUAAGAACAAACUCUCCUAGCUUGGUUGCGUUAAAGUUAAAGAAUUUUCAAAUUUGACUUUUUUGUUGAAACUUAUUUUAUCAAAAUAUUAUAUUGAGAUGGCUCACCUGUGUGAGUAGCAGCUAAGAGUAAAAUAAAAUCAAAAACGCAUUUUAAGAUCACAAGCAAAACUUAAAACCCAAACCCUAGUUUCGCGAUUCUGCACAAAAAUUGAAGGCCAAGACCCAAACCCUAGUUUCAUGAUUCUGUACAGAAAUUGAAGCCAAAACCCUAGUUUCGCGAUGUCAGGGAUUACCUGAGAGGUCGAGAUUUGAUCUUUUUUCCUGGUCGGUGAUGAGAGAAAACCUCCUUCGGCAGCGUUGGUUUGUGAGAGAGAGAGAGAGAGAUGCGUGCGGUGAGAGAGAGAAGUUGGCAUUGUAUGUUAAAAAAAAUAUUUUAUUUGGGUUCCGCUGCCCCAAUGAUGCCACAUCUCAAGAGGAGACUCACAUGAGCAUGAGCUUGUGACAGGCUUUUAACGAUAUAAAAGAUGUGAAUGUUGAGCUCACAGCCUUCACCUCCAAAGAGCUCGUCGAAGAUCGACAUUGGUCUCAAGUACGGAGAGGACCAGACCCCGUCACUGAUGUGGCUUCUCGAAUGCCUGCCGUCUACUUUGCUUGCCAUAAGUAACGUAAUAAAUAAAGUCCUUUAUUUGUAUGUAUUUAUGGUUUUAGGCUGAUUGAAUUUGAAUUUAUUAGACAUGAAAUUCAAUUCUAGGUUCCUACAAGGCUACCUAGGUUUUCUCCAACAAGGGUAUUGGAUUUUGGAGCUAGUACUGGUUUGGCAGCUAAUUUGAUUCGUCCUAUAUGGUUACUUGGGUAGUGAAGAUUGAUAUUGGUUUUUAUAAAUUACUUGUGAUUGUAUUUUGCUAGUUGUGGUCAAAUACUUUAUUGGCAUAUUUGGUUCCAAAGGGCACUGUGAGAACUCUAGCCAAGAUCUCCGGAAGGAAUUAAUUUAGUAAAGCCAUUGCAAUCGAUGCAACGAGAAUAAAGAAUCUGAAGAAUUUGCUACUUAUUUAUAGCUAUAAUAGCAUUCAGUCGCUAACUAAGAAUAUCAAUAAAUCUGACACAGAGCAUGACCUCGUCAUUGUUUCCUAUGUGCUUGGAGAGAUAGCAUCACCGCAGGACAGAAUUACCAUUGUGCACUAGCUUUGGGAUCUUACACGAGAUGUUCUGGUAAAUUUUUAAGUCCGUGGAUAAGUUUCAUGUCUCAGUAUGUGCAAGCUUAUGUGUUGAAGGUAUAUGUGAUUUGGUUGCAUUGUUGAUUAAUAUAAUUCAAAAAAAGAAAAAACAUAGAAUGUCCAUAGUUGUUACUUUGUUUCAUGGUUUAAAAUUUUCUGUCAAUUUGUUCUUUACUUUUCCUUGGGAAGUGUCAAUUUAUUCCUAUUAUAUUUAUUAUUUUAAUCCUUCAAGGGGUAUUUUUCAUGGGCGAGGCUUUCUCAGCAUUUGUUUCUGGGGCUAUAGAUGUUGGAUCAAUCUAUAUCUUGAUAUUAAUCAGCAAGUUGAGCAUUUCAAAAUAGUAGAGUGUGAAAAAAGUGAAAACAUGUGAAGUAUGAAUUGUCAGUUAUCUCUCAUUAUGUAAACAAAGUCUUUGUCAGUUAUCU